AAGGGGGCGCGGCACCAGUAGGAGCUCUUCGCGGCCCCCGCAGCAGCCAUGGCGAAAGGCAGAGUCGCUGAUCGAUCGCCCACCGAAAUGUUGCACUCGACCCCAGCCGGGGACCGGGCAGUGAGGACCCAGGGUUCCGCCGCGCCUGGCAGCAAAGAUCAUCUGAACGAAAAGCCUUGUGCAGAAGCUGGAUCAGCAAGAACAUCACUCCUUAUACUGGUGUCCAUUUUUUCAUGUGCAGCUUUUGUUAUGUUUUUGGUAUAUAAAAAUUUUCCUCAGCUUAGUGAGGAAGAGAGGGUGAAUAUGAAGGUUCCGAGAGAUAUGGAUGACGCCAAGGCUCUAGGAAAAGUUCUCUCCAAAUAUAAGGAUACCUUUUAUGUACAAGUACUGGUUGCUUAUUUUGCUACAUAUAUUUUUUUGCAAACAUUUGCUAUCCCAGGUUCCAUAUUCCUCAGUAUACUCUCCGGGUUCCUUUAUCCCUUCCCACUUGCCUUAUUCCUUGUUUGUUUGUGCUCCGGACUUGGUGCCUCAUUCUGCUACAUGCUCUCCUACUUAGUUGGAAGACCCGUUGUAUACAAAUACCUAACAGAGAAGGCAGUGAAAUGGUCACAGCAGGUAGAGCGUCACAGAGAACAUCUUAUUAACUACAUUAUAUUUUUGAGAAUCACACCGUUUCUUCCUAAUUGGUUUAUUAAUAUUACAUCUCCUGUGAUAAAUGUACCAUUGAAAGUGUUUUUUAUUGGCACUUUUCUAGGUGUUGCACCUCCUUCUUUUGUAGCAAUCAAGGCAGGAACAACUCUGUGUCAGCUUACAACAGCAGGGGAAGCUGUUUCCUGGAGCUCGGUAUUUAUUCUGAUGGUUUUGACUCUUCUUUCUAUCCUGCCAGCCAUCUUCCAAAAACAACUAAAGCAGAAGUUUGAGUGAAAAGACAUGGCUUUCCGUUUACCACCGCCAUCACUCCUGCCACCACCACUGUCAUCUCAGGAUUAGCAGGUGUAUUCAUGUUACGUUUGGACAUCACCUCUUCAGUCACUGAAAGAAGGACUUGUAAAGUAAAAUAGCCCAUGAGAGAGAAUGCACAUAUGGGAGAACAGAAGUUGGGGCCCUAUGAGAAGUGCUGUCACCUGCACCUGACCUGUGAGAGUCACUGUUCCAGGGUUAGCUCUGAGACAUCACUCAUUGUCUUGGUUUGGAAUUCUUACUCUAAAUGAUUCAUUUGAAGUGUUUUCCUCUUACAUCUGACUAAUGACUAAAAUCGUGAACUCAGGUACAGUGGAACAUACUUAAAACUCCAGCUGCCCGGGAGGCUAAGGCUAGCUGUGAAAGUCACAAGACACCCUGUAUUAAAGUAAAAUAAGGAACAGUGAAGAUAAAAUAAAAUAAAAAUUCAGAGCACAAACCAAAUACUUGAAGCAAAAAUGAGUUUUCAUUUUCUUUCUCUUUUCAGACAGCACUUUCCAUAGGCCAGUGUAUGUAGCAAUGAUGGGUUAUUUAAGUUUUCCUUGGAAAUUUGUAUCAUGGAUUAGUCCAAUAAUUUGAAUUCUGGCCAGUCUGUUUUCAUCCUUUUUUCUAGGUUUUGCAGUAUUUCCACCAUACAUAUAGAAAAGGAGAAUUAUAUAUCUGUAUCAUAUUGGUGUUGAUAAUGUAUAUUAAGAUAAUGAUAUUUUGUUACAGUGUCUUUAUUAUCUCAAAGGGGGUUCCAAAGUAAAUACUCAAAGCAUAUACUUUUUAGACAUUAUUUUAUACUGAAACAACUGACAGUAGGUAGGACAUUAGUGAUUAAAUCUAGUUUAUUUGUUCCAAUGACUGUAAAAUUUGCCUCAUAGAUUGUCUGGUCAUUAAAGAAUGUAUUG
rnacentral:lncRNA from 1 species